ACUGCUCAGUAACACGUGGAUAACCUGCCCUUGGGUCCGGCAUAACCCCGGGAAACUGGGGAUAAUUCCGGAUAACGCAUAUUUGCUGGAAUGCUUUAUGCGUCAAAUGGAUUCGUCCGCCCAAGGAUGGGUCUGCGGCCUAUCAGGUAGUAGUGGGUGUAAUGUACCUACUAGCCAGCGACGGGUACGGGUUGUGAGAGCAAGAGCCCGGAGAUGGAUUCUGAGACAUGAAUCCAGGCCCUACGGGGCGCAGCAGGCGCGAAAACUUUACAAUGCGGGAAACCGUGAUAAGGGGACACCGAGUGUCAGCAUCAUAUGCUGGCUGUCCAGGUGUGUAAAAUACACCUGUUAGCAAGGGCCGGGCAAGACCGGUGCCAGCCGCCGCGGUAACACCGGCGGCCCGAGUGGUGAUCGUGAUUAUUGGGUCUAAAGGGUCCGUAGCCGGUUUGGUCAGUCCUCCGGGAAAUCUGAUAGCUCAACUAUUAGGCUAUCGGGGGAUACUACCAGGCUUGGAACCGGGAGAGGUAAGAGGUACUACAGGGGUAGGAGUGAAAUCUUGUAAUCCCUGUGGGACCACCUGUGGCGAAGGCGUCUUACCAGAACGGGUUCGACGGUGAGGGACGAAAGCUGGGGGCACGAACCGGAUUAGAUACCCGGGUAGUCCCAGCCGUAAACGAUGCUCGCUAGGUGUCAGGCAUGGCGCGACCGUGUCUGGUGCCGCAGGGAAGCCGUGAAGCGAGCCACCUGGGAAGUACGGCCGCAAGGCUGAAACUUAAAGGAAUUGGCGGGGGAGA
rnacentral:rRNA from 1 species